AUGCAAUUUUUCGUCCCAUGUAUUAGCAUGUGUGUGCUAUUGACGUUUGUUUGUUGAUUUUGAAAUCAUUCCAUAAGCUGCAAAUGAUAUGGAUGCCGAAAAUUUUAUUUCGCUACUGUGGAACAAGUGAAGUGAUGUAAAUUUCUGCUCAAAGCGAACCAAUGGUCACAUGCGCACGAGGUUUCAUGAAGUGUUUUGCCAUGGAUUGUGUUCAACGAAAAUUUCCCUCAUUUGAAAUCGAUACUGAACAAGUUUUAGGAUGUCAACCAAAUUUUCAACUGUUUCAUCAAGGGGCAGAUUUCAAGAAACUUCAUCCAGCUGAAUGUGAAGUUCAACCUGACCCGGAACGUGAUCGACGAAGAGGUGGUUAAGGCUCGGCUCGAGGAAUUCAAGACCAAACUGUCCGAUUAGUGCUUGGUGAUCGAGAUGUUUCCCUGCCCGACUCUGUCAGAACGCAAUCACCCAGCUAUCGGUCAUUCUUCGCCCAGGAUCCGCUGUGCGUUGAUGCAAAACGCGCUCAAGAAGCUGCUUCUGCCCCAGGAGUACGUCCUCGAGAAAUUACGGCUGAGUGCGUUUCUGGACGAGGAUCUGCAGAAGCAGCAAUUAGAUAGUGUUUGAAAGAAAAGUAUGAUGUAAUUUUAAUCACAAAGCAUUAUUACUGCAAUGCUGAAAUUAAAAAAAAACACUCUAGAAUGAAUGAAUAGGCACACAUUAUCUUGUAGGCAGAUUUCAAGAUGAUCACAGGAAGUGAACAGACAAUACACAUAAAUAAGUAGUGCCCCUAGCUUGUUAGAAAUUGUUAUUAUUAUUGCUUCAUAAAAUUUUACACUUUUAUCUAACCGUGUUUCUGGGACUGUUAAAAAAUAUGUGGCAACGGAGCGUGUGAAAUAAAUCAUGCUGUUUGUGUGUUUAGAAAUAAAAUAAAUUAGUGAGUGGAUGAGUACACAGCAACUGGACAAAAGUUAGUUUUUGUAAUACUGUUGAUGACAGCCAUGUUUUUUGUCCAGUAAGUUUUUCAUGUUAAUUUAUCAUUGCAAAUUUACGUUGCCGUCGUUGUGGGAACUUUUGUAGAACCAUAUGCGCCUAACAUAAACGUGUGCGCUCUGAGAAUUACCGAAAAGGUUUGCGAACGUAUUUUGAAAUGGGGCGGAAAGGUUUAUACCUCUGACCGCUCUGAUCGCACUUAUCGGUAAGUUGAACUUAUCGGUAAGAACACCGUCCUGAUGUGCGCGUAAUGUCUGCGAGGCCUGCACUCACUUUGGCCGUGCUCAUGGCGUGCCACACUUUAACAUUCGUCCGUAUGUACUCUCAAAGGAACGCAAAUUUGAGCAGGUUCGUCGUUGCAACCCCAAAAGGCAUAUCAUGAGAGGGUGAAUGCCCUAAGCUGCUCAAAAACAAUAGUGGAAAUUC